AAACAUGAUGACAUAUAUUUAGUUUGUUAGAAGGUUCCUAUGCACGUUCACUAGUUGAUUUUGUCUGGAUGUUUGCGGACUGCAUUUCGAUUGGGCAAGUCGUUUUGCCUCGUCUUGUGUUUUACAAUCCCAACAGCAAGGAUGCUGCCAUCAUUACAUUGAAUUAAGCUGGUACCAGAUCCACCAACUUGUAGCGCACCAUACUCGCGAUGGGUAGGCCAUGUCAUACCCCUGGUACUGAACGAUCCAGCCCUUAGACGUUCGCAAGGACAGACUAAAGGAAGCUGUUUAUGGUGUGUCAAAUAAUGUGUAGCAGAUGGUAGAAGAUGGGUACCUGCGGGUGAGAGAGUCCGUUUCUAACGUUUUAUUAUCAGUUGGUGACACGUUCAAAAGGAUGUGCGCAGAUCAUCCUUUAUUAUUAUUUUGAGCAGUUAUUUUUAUGCGGACACGGAAAGAAAAAUGAACUGGAUGCAUUUCAGAUUUAAGGGUUGUAAAUAAAGGAUACAUACAGUGGCGGAUUAAGGGUAUCGGGGCACUAGGCGGUAAGACGAGUUGAGGCCCCCGAUCAUCAGUCACAGGCUCUAAAAUUGAUUCGCCAGCCUCGGGGGCCCUUGUCGCUAGCACUCUGUCCAUACGGCAUACUAUAGAAUGGCGAUCUACGGGGCCCCUUAAUCGGCGGGGCACCAGCCCAACCAGCAAAACCGAAGCUAUUGGAAAACUGUCCUGUGUGCCAACGCGAGAGAGCAUGUCUUCUUUCUCUAGAUUUUGGACGGCACAACGCCGAUCGUGUGGCCUAUGAACGAAAAACGGGAGAAGGGGAAACCGACAUCCUUCGAGUGACACACACGCAUGCAUCUGCAUGCGUAUUCCGCUGAACCGAGACUACACAUCUCUCUCGAUCUCCCAUGAUUUUUCUGCUAUCGCGCUCAUCCGGGUGUUAGGCAUCCUCAGUCUGUCCAGAACUUUCACUGUGGAAGGAUGUGUUGGAGUGAUGUGUGAUUUCUUGUGCCCCGUACUUUGCUCGUUUACGUUUUGUGCCGUGUUCCUUCUUCUUCAAUUAUGGAAUGAUUUAUCCUUGUAAAUUUCUAAGUUACAGUGCACGUUAAUCGACGGUUACAGUGCAUGUUAAUCGACGGUUGCCAACAUCCCGCAAAACGAUCGAUGGAAGGAAAACGGUGUCCGGUUUUAAAAUAUAAAGAUUUCAUUACAGCUCUUUCGUAGAAGAGCGCACUUCAAUGACGCCUAGGAUACGGCUAAACAUGCGCAGCACCAGUCCGUGACGUCAUUUCCAGACAGGCGCCGGCUGAACACGCGCAGCACCAGUCGAGGAUAUCCUAGCGCAGAGGGUAGAAGGAAGAACGAGAGGAAGGGUAACAGAAAGCAACCGCAGCAUUUGGAAGGGGUGAAGCAUCCUGCCGUAUACAGAGUGUGAGUGUGCCAAAACGCAUGUGGAAAGAGUAACACCAAUAAAUAGCAUGCGAAAGUGUGCAUAAAGCAAAAAGAAAAAGCGUCACUGCUACAACCAGCAAUCCGAAAAUAUAAGGGGAGGGAUAAAUACAAAUGUAUGCGUAAGCAGGACCAGCAAUCCAAGCAUUUGAAUGUGUGCGUCGGUUUGUGCCGUGCUGAAAGUUUUUACUUUAGCUGCUGCUAGUGUAAAAACUUAAGGAAAGCUUAAAGUAAAAAUUUUUUACACGGGGCGCCUUCGGUAAUUGUUGGCUGGGAGGCGACCGCCUAGUCCGCCUACCGUUAGAUCCGCCACUGGAUACAUAAAGGAUGAUAAUAUCAGGUCCGUCAUAGGUUCAAGUCUCAUAUAGACGGUCCCCUCGUAGUAAGGACUGGCCAGCCGGGUGUGUGGUACUAAAAACAGACGCUAAAGCUUGCAUUGGCUGGCAUGACCAGGUAGAUGGAUACGGCAAAUAGAAGAAGAAGAAACAGGAAGAUGGAAAGCAGCAGUCUGUAGAAGCUUCGGUUGAGACCUUUGCUGUUAAAGAAGAAGGAAAUGUCGUUGCAUGUGGAUGGAAUGAUGAGAUUGUGGGUGGUUCGGGUGAUGAAUGGUUGGGAGCGGAGAUGAAUGAAUUGGCGAAGCCAGUUUACCUCUUUCCAUGCGUUGUAUGAGGAAUCAAUGAAAAUAGUCAAAUCGUAUUGAAUUAUGGGUCAAUUUUCGGGAAAAUCAUCAAAGAAAAAAAUGCGACAUUUUUUUAACACAUGAGUACAUUAUCUCAUAUGGCCGUUAAAACCAGCUUACAUCGGGUUGAGAUCAACAUUGGAGUAUCACACUUGAUAAAAAAAUCAAAUUUCCUGUACGGAAUUAUUCCUUCACUUUCGCUCGUUUGAAAUUGUCUUCAUAACCGUUGAUCCUCAUGGCGAUCAAAUGGCCACAUCAGAAACGGCACGGAACGGCAACCACCAGCAUAGCACAAAUAUUGCUUCAACACCAGAAUUGACCGGCUUUCGCAUCGUCAAGGUCACAGGUAAAACCAAAUACACUACAUAUAUAUGAACCAAUCGCCAAUUCAGAGAUACAACUACAACCCUACCAUAUACCAGUAUCAGCUGAUGAGCUAUCGCACACAAGCGAGCGGCGCGCACAAAUAAGAGGAAGGGGCCUGAAGGAAGAGAGGACAGGGGAAGACACCGGGAGAGAGAGUGUGUGUGGUCAACAUUUUUGGCCAUUUAAAUUUUGUCCACCACCCAACCAGCAAAACCGAAGCUAUUGGAAAACUGUCCUGUGUGCCAACGCGAGAGAGCAUGUCUUCUUUCUCUAGAUUUUGGACGGCACAACGCCGAUCGUGUGGCCUAUGAACGAAAAACGGGAGAAGGGGAAACCGACAUCCUUCGAGUGACACACACGCAUGCAUCUGCAUGCGUAUUCCGCUGAACCGAGACUACACAUCUCUCUCGAUCUCCCAUGAUUUUUCUGCUAUCGCGCUCAUCCGGGUGUUAGGCAUCCUCAGUCUGUCCAGAACUUUCACUGUGGAAGGAUGUGUUGGAGUGAUGUGUGAUUUCUUGUGCCCCGUACUUUGCUCGUUUACGUUUUGUGCCGUGUUCCUUCUUCUUCAAUUAUGGAAUGAUUUAUCCUUGUAAAUUUCUAAGUUACAGUGCACGUUAAUCGACGGUUACAGUGCAUGUUAAUCGACGGUUGCCAACAUCCCGCAAAACGAUCGAUGGAAGGAAAACGGUGUCCGGUUUUAAAAUAUAAAGAUUUCAUUACAGCUCUUUCGUAGAAGAGCGCACUUCAAUGACGCCUAGGAUACGGCUAAACAUGCGCAGCACCAGUCCGUGACGUCAUUUCCAGACAGGCGCCGGCUGAACACGCGCAGCACCAGUCGAGGAUAUCCUAGCGCAGAGGGUAGAAGGAAGAACGAGAGGAAGGGUAACAGAAAGCAACCGCAGCAUUUGGAAGGGGUGAAGCAUCCUGCCGUAUACAGAGUGUGAGUGUGCCAAAACGCAUGUGGAAAGAGUAACACCAAUAAAUAGCAUGCGAAAGUGUGCAUAAAGCAAAAAGAAAAAGCGUCACUGCUACAACCAGCAAUCCGAAAAUAUAAGGGGAGGGAUAAAUACAAAUGUAUGCGUAAGCAGGACCAGCAAUCCAAGCAUUUGAAUGUGUGCGUCGGUUUGUGCCGUGCUGAAAGUUUUUACUUUAGCUGCUGCUAGUGUAAAAACUUAAGGAAAGCUUAAAGUAAAAAUUUUUUACACGGGGCGCCUUCGGUAAUUGUUGGCUGGGCAACACCGUUGCAUUUCGGAGCUUUUUUCUUGCCCGAAAGAGAUAGCCAUACACUUGACAUACAGCUGUCUCGCUCAUAUGACACUUCCAAGGCUCGCAAGCUCUUUAAUGCGAGGGCUCUGGAGCAGUGAACUUGUAUGGCGUGCGAGCCCUCGCGCGCCCUCGCAAAUCGCUGUCACUUGCACUGCGGGACAGUGCGAUUUGUAGCAUACUAAACACCUGAAUUUUGACAUUUUAGUUUUCAAAAAUCCACAAAAAUUUUAAUAGUGAUCUUUUCGCCAAAUACUACCGCACAAAAUAUAAUUCUUGAAUAAAAAUCAACGAUUUUAUAAAAUACCAUAAGAAUUCGAGCACAUGAAAUGUUUAGCAACCCUCGCAAUGUUUGACGGGCUAGUUUUAGCAGUUAUAAUUAUAGCACCCCGAGAGCAGGUAUAAUAGUGCGAUUUGUAGCAUACUAAACACCUGAAUUUUGACAUUUUAGUUUUCAA